GUGAAGCUAAUGGUACCAAAGGACCAGAAGCAAUUGAAGAGGCUGACUUGAGGCUCAAAAAGAUGGAGUCACUUAAGGCCCAGACAAAUGCCCGUGCUGCUGUCCUAAAAGAACAGCUGGAGC